rnacentral:rRNA from 1 species
GACGAACGCUGGCGGCGUGCUUAACACAUGCAAGUCGAACGAUGAAGCCGGAGCUUGCUCUGGUGAAUUAGUGGCGAACGGGUGAGUAACACGUGAGUAACCUGCCCUUGACUCUGGGAUAACCGCGGGAAACUGUAGCUAAUACCGGAUACGACCCUCGGAGGCAUCUCCUGGGGGUGGAAAGAAUUUCGGUCAAGGAUGGACUCGCGGCCUAUCAGCUAGUUGGUGAGGUAAAGGCUCACCAAGGCGUCGACGGGUAGCCGGCCUGAGAGGGUGACCGGCCACACUGGGACUGAGACACGGCCCAGACUCCUACGGGAGGCAGCAGUGGGGAAGAUUGCACAAUGGGCGAAAGCCUGAUGCAGCAACGCCGCGUGAGGGACGACGGCCUUCGGGUUGUAAACCUCUUUUAGCAGGGAAGAAGCGAAAGUGACGGUACCUGCAGAAAAAGCGCCGGCUAACUACGUGCCAGCCGCCGCCGUAA